UUCCAGCUGACGAGUCCCAAAUAGGACGAAAUGCGCGUCCUGGAU
rnacentral:hammerhead_ribozyme from 1 species